ensembl:lncRNA
CAAAUCCUGCAUUUUCCACCUCCCUACCCACCCCUCUGUCUGUCCUGGCCCCUGUACUCCCGGUGGACACUUCCUAACCUCAGAGAGCCAGAGGGAUAGAAGAAUUCUGGUUUCCAUAGCAACACAGCCAGGUUCACAAGGCAACAAGGUCCCGCCUUUGCAGUCAGCUUAGUGUAACUGUCAGUGGCCCAGGCAAUUUCAAGUCAGCCUAUAAGGUUAAUUUGUCUGCAGUUUUCUCUGCACAAAAGCCCCCGGCAUGGAAGAAAGCCAAUGAAAUGGGAGCAGGAGUGAUAUGCAUCACAUCCAGACCCAGCAGAGGAAAUCCUCUCCUGCCCUAUUCUCCCUACACUUUUCCCUUUCUGGAUGACUGGAGCAGAAGUAACUCUGGGUGACCACAGCAGCCAUGAGUUGAAGAAGGAAGAACCCCAAGAUGAAAGGAACCUGGGCCCCUGAAUCAUCACGUGGAGAACUCCCCACCAAUUGGGAGUGCCCAUUUUGGACCUUGUAAAAGAGACCUGAAACUAAUUUCUGAGCCAUUACAGAUUUUUGGUGAGCUUGUUACAGCAGCUAGCAUUACUUUAAUUAACACAUUAUUCUUUUAAUACUUUCCAAUCUGAUAUGCAGACAUCUCACUCAUGCUUUAACUUGAAUCUCAUUGGUUUCUAGGGAGGUUAUAUAGCAGUUGAUAUAUAACUCAAAUAUUCUCCAGUCGUCUCCAUUUGGAGGGCAUGAGGAGGUCACUGUAUCAGCGCAAUCAGAAUUCCACUGCUCUCACCUGUAUGAAAUCAGGCCCUCGUCCCCACCACACACACACACACACACACUCACUCACUCACUCACUCACUCUCCUUGACAUUCCUCCACCCUCUCUGAGAUUCCCCAGAGCCUCUUGACAUCUGUGAAAUUAGUGGAUGUGAAUACAAAAGAAGAGGAGGAAGAAUGGUCUCUCACCUAUUUCUGCAAGCCAAGUAUGUUUCAGCCUCAGCUCUGACCCAGCUGGGACCACAGUCGCCCAAAACGUAUGGAUCACACGAGGGGGUUUUUCUAUGAAUUGUUAUCUGUCACACAAGAGCCCUUUUCUCCAGGCUAGAGUUCUUCUGACCAGUCAGAAUCUCCUACCUCCAACCCUCCGCCCCAGAUUCCUUUUGGUCUCUGACGAAAUGAGGGUCUUUCCUCUCUGGUCAGAUGGCCAGCUGCAGCAUGGGCUUCUGGUCCCAGAACACAAGCUAAUCCCCAGAGCAAUGCCUAUAGCUUACCCUGUGGAAGGGCUGGUCCGCGGCAAGCACAGGCCUCCAGCCUCCCCGGAGAACACCAGGCAGGAAGAGGAAAUCCAGAGAACUCAUCUCCGCGUCUAAGACUGAGGUUGUUGCGACUCCAUUGCCUUGCUUGGGUUGUACCCAGAACAAACAUGUAAGGAGCCACGUCAGUGGCCCCAGCGGGAGGAGUAGGGUGUAUCAAUCAGAGUCCCAACAGGAAACAAACUCACCCCAGAUGGUUCAAACAAAGAGACCUUAAUAAAGAGAGUCCUUCACAUCAGUACUUCAUUCGUUCUUAUGGCUGAAUAAUAUUCUACUGUGUGGGUAUACCACAAUCUCCAUAAUUCUUAGCUCCGUAAGCGAGUGAUUCUCAAAAUGCAGUCUCCAGACCAGCAGCAGCCGCAAUCCCUGGGCACCUAUCGGAAAUGCAAAUUCUUGGGCUCACUCACCCUAUCAAGGAAGCCCAGCAAUCUGGUUUUUAACAAGCCCUCCAGGUGAUUCUGAUGCAUGCUCCAUUAUGAGGCACAGGUGAACCCUGAAAACAUUAUGCUAAGUGAAAGAACCAGAUGCAAAAAGUCACAUAUCGUAUGAGUCCUUUUAUAUGAAAUAUCCAGAAUAGGAAAAUCUGUAGAGACAGACAGCAUGUUAGUGGUUACCAGGAGAUGGGGAAAGAUGGAAAUGGGGGGUGGUUACUUAAUGGGUACAGGGCAUACUUUUGGGGCGAUGAAAAAGUUUUGAAACUAGAAAGAGGUGGCAUUUGCACAACAUUGUGAAUGCACUAAAUGUCCCUGAAUUUUACACUUUUUUUCAGUUAACAUUCUUUUUCUAAAAAAAUUAUUUUAUUGAGGUCAUAUUGGCUUAUAACAUUGUAUAAAUGUCAGGUG